rnacentral:rRNA from 1 species
CGCUGGCGGCAUGCCUAACACAUGCAAGUCGAACGAACCCUUCGGGGUUAGUGGCGCACGGGUGCGUAACACGUGGGAAUCUGCCCUUUGCUUCGGAAUAACAGUUAGAAAUGACUGCUAAUACCGGAUGAUGUCGUAAGACCAAAGAUUUAUCGGCAAAGGAUGAGCCCGCGUAGGAUUAGGUAGUUGGUGGGUAAAGGCCUACCAAGCCGACGAUCCUUAGCUGGUCUGAGAGGAUGAUCAGCCACACUGGGACUGAGACACGGCCCAGACUCCUACGGGAGGCAGCAGUGGGGAAUAUUGGACAAUGGGCGAAAGCCUGAUCCAGCAAUGCCGCGUGAGUGAUGAAGGCCUUCGGGUUGUAAAGCUCUUUUACCAGGGAUGAUAAUGACAGUACCUGGAGAAUAAGCUCCGGCUAACUCCGUG